CCUACGGGAGGCAGCAGUGAGGAAUAUUGGUCAAUGGACGAGAGUCUGAACCAGCCAAGUAGCGUGAAGGAUGACUGCCCUAUGGGUUGUAAACUUCUUUUAUAUGGGAAUAAAAUGUUCCACGUUGGGGAUUUUGUAUGUACCAUAUGAAUAAGGAUCGGCUAACUCCUUGCCAGCAGCCGCGGUAAGACGGAAGAUCCGAGCGUUAUCCGGAUUUAUUGGGUUUCAAGGGGUCGUAAGUGGAUUGUUAAGUCAGUUGUGAAAGUUUACGGCUUAACCGUAAAAUUGCAGUUGAAACUGGAAGUCGUGAGUAAAGUAGAGGUGGGCGGAAUUCGUGGUGUAGCGGUGAAAUGCUUAGAUAUCACGAAGAACUCCGAUUGCGAAGGCAGUUCACUGGACUGUAACUGACACUGAGGCUCGAAAGUGUGGGUAUCAAACAGGAUUAGAUACCCUAGUAGUC
rnacentral:rRNA from 1 species